rnacentral:rRNA from 1 species
AGCGUACACGGUGGAUGCCCUGGCAGUCAGAGGCGAUGAAGGACGUGCUAAUCUGCGAUAAGCGUCGGUGAGGUGAUAUGAACCGUUAUAACCGGCGAUUUCCGAAUGGGGAAACCCAGUGUGUUUCGACACACUAUCAUUAACUGAAUCCAUAGGUUAAUGAGGCGAACCGGGGGAACUGAAACAUCUAAGUACCCCGAGGAAAAGAAAUCAACCGAGAUUCCCCCAGUAGCGGCGAGCGAACGGGGAGGAGCCCAGAGCCUGAAUCAGUGUGUGUGUUAGUGGAAGCGUCUGGAAAGGCGCGCGAUACAGGGUGACAGCCCCGUACACAAAAAUGCACAUACUGUGAGCUCGAUGAGUAGGGCGGGACACGUGGUAUCCUGUCUGAAUAUGGGGGGACCAUCCUCCAAGGCUAAAUACUCCUGACUGACCGAUAGUGAACCAGUACCGUGAGGGAAAGGCGAAAAGAACCCCGGCGAGGGGAGUGAAAAAGAACCUGAAACCGUGUACGUACAAGCAGUGGGAGCCUCUUAAUGGGGUGACUGCGUACCUUUUGUAUAAUGGGUCAGCGACUUAUAUUCUGUAGCAAGGUUAACCGAAUAGGGGAGCCGAAGGGAAACCGAGUCUUAACUGGGCGUUAAGUUGCAGGGUAUAGACCCGAAACCCGGUGAUCUAGCCAUGGGCAGGUUGAAGGUUGGGUAACACUAACUGGAGGACCGAACCGACUAAUGUUGAAAAAUUAGCGGAUGACUUGUGGCUGGGGGUGAAAGGCCAAUCAAACCGGGAGAUAGCUGGUUCUCCCCGAAAGCUAUUUAGGUAGCGCCUCGUGAAUUCAUCUCCGGGGGUAGAGCACUGUUUCGGCAAGGGGGUCAUCCCGACUUACCAACCCGAUGCAAACUGCGAAUACCGGAGAAUGUUAUCACGGGAGACACACGGCGGGUGCUAACGUCCGUCGUGAAGAGGGAAACAACCCAGACCGCCAGCUAAGGUCCCAAAGUCAUGGUUAAGUGGGAAACGAUGUGGGAAGGCCCAGACAGCCAGGAUGUUGGCUUAGAAGCAGCCAUCAUUUAAAGAAAGCGUAAUAGCUCACUGGUCGAGUCGGCCUGCGCGGAAGAUGUAACGGGGCUAAACCAUGCACCGAAGCUGCGGCAGCGACACUAUGUGUUGUUGGGUAGGGGAGCGUUCUGUAAGCCUGUGAAGGUGUACUGUGAGGUAUGCUGGAGGUAUCAGAAGUGCGAAUGCUGACAUAAGUAACGAUAAAGCGGGUGAAAAGCCCGCUCGCCGGAAGACCAAGGGUUCCUGUCCAACGUUAAUCGGGGCAGGGUGAGUCGACCCCUAAGGCGAGGCCGAAAGGCGUAGUCGAUGGGAAACAGGUUAAUAUUCCUGUACUUGGUGUUACUGCGAAGGGGGGACGGAGAAGGCUAUGUUGGCCGGGCGACGGUUGUCCCGGUUUAAGCGUGUAGGCUGGUUUUCCAGGCAAAUCCGGAAAAUCAAGGCUGAGGCGUGAUGACGAGGCACUACGGUGCUGAAGCGACAAAUGCCCUGCUUCCAGGAAAAGCCUCUAAGCAUCAGGUAACAUCAAAUCGUACCCCAAACCGACACAGGUGGUCAGGUAGAGAAUACCAAGGCGCUUGAGAGAACUCGGGUGAAGGAACUAGGCAAAAUGGUGCCGUAACUUCGGGAGAAGGCACGCUGAUAUGUAGGUGAAGCGACUUGCUCGUGGAGCUGAAAUCAGUCGAAGAUACCAGCUGGCUGCAACUGUUUAUUAAAAACACAGCACUGUGCAAACACGAAAGUGGACGUAUACGGUGUGACGCCUGCCCGGUGCCGGAAGGUUAAUUGAUGGGGUUAGCGGUAACGCGAAGCUCUUGAUCGAAGCCCCGGUAAACGGCGGCCGUAACUAUAACGGUCCUAAGGUAGCGAAAUUCCUUGUCGGGUAAGUUCCGACCUGCACGAAUGGCGUAAUGAUGGCCAGGCUGUCUCCACCCGAGACUCAGUGAAAUUGAACUCGCUGUGAAGAUGCAGUGUACCCGCGGCAAGACGGAAAGACCCCGUGAACCUUUACUAUAGCUUGACACUGAACAUUGAGCCUUGAUGUGUAGGAUAGGUGGGAGGCUUUGAAGUGUGGACGCCAGUCUGCAUGGAGCCGACCUUGAAAUACCACCCUUUAAUGUUUGAUGUUCUAACGUGGGCCCCUUACCGGGGUUGCGGACAGUGUCUGGUGGGUAGUUUGACUGGGGCGGUCUCCUCCUAAAGAGUAACGGAGGAGCACGAAGGUUGGCUAAUCCUGGUCGGACAUCAGGAGGUUAGUGCAAUGGCAUAAGCCAGCUUGACUGCGAGCGUGACGGCGCGAGCAGGUGCGAAAGCAGGUCAUAGUGAUCCGGUGGUUCUGAAUGGAAGGGCCAUCGCUCAACGGAUAAAAGGUACUCCGGGGAUAACAGGCUGAUACCGCCCAAGAGUUCAUAUCGACGGCGGUGUUUGGCA